rnacentral:rRNA from 1 species
GAUGAACGCUGGCGGCGUGCCUAAUACAUGCAAGUCGAGCGAACGGACGAGAAGCUUGCUUUUCUGAUGUUAGCGGCGGACGGGUGAGUAACACGUGGAUAACCUACCUAUAAGACUGGGAUAACUUCGGGAAACCGGAGCUAAUACCGGAUAAUAUUUUGAACCGCAUGGUUCAAAAGUGAAAGACGGUCUUGCUGUCACUUAUAGAUGGAUCCGCGCUGCAUUAGCUAGUUGGUAAGGUAACGGCUUACCAAGGCAACGAUGCAUAGCCGACCUGAGAGGGUGAUCGGCCACACUGGAACUGAGACACGGUCCAGACUCUACGGGAGGCAGCAGUAGGGAAUCUUCCGCAAUGGGCGAAAGCCUGACGGAGCAACGCCGCGUGAGUGAUGAAGGUCUUCGGAUCGUAAAACUCUGUUAUUAGGGAAGAACAUAUGUGUAAGUAACUGUGCACAUCUUGACGGUACCUAAUCAGGAAGCCACGGCUAACUACGUG